rnacentral:rRNA from 1 species
GUUAGCCAGAUACCACCCUGAAAGUGCCCAAUCUCUCAUGAGCUUAGAAGCUAAGCAAGACUGGGCCUGGUUAGUA